AGUCCACAGGUCGCUUUUC
rnacentral:misc_RNA from 1 species